rnacentral:tRNA from 2 species
GGGCAUGUGGCGAAAUUGGUACACGCGCACGUCUCAGAAGCGUGUGGGGCAACCCAUGGGAGUUCGAGUCUCCCCAUGCCCA